AAUUCUCAACUUCAUUAGUUUUUAUAACUGAUUGAAGCUUGGAUGUGGGGGUUUGCUGGCGUCUUUAGAUGUUUUCGGCUCCCCUUAAAUGCAUUAGUAGGAACCCGUUUGUUGGCGUUCAUAGUGUGAUAAUUAUCUACGCUCUAGAUUUGCAAAGUCUGCUUAUAACCGUCCUUCAGUUGGACAAUUUCUUGACA
rnacentral:misc_RNA from 1 species